AUCUAGGCCACACCACCCUGAAAGCGCCCAAUCUUUUCUGAUUUCGGAAGCCAUCCGGGGCCAGGCCUGGUUAGUACCAGAGAAUACCAGGUGUCGUAGGCU
rnacentral:rRNA from 1 species